GAUUGACAUGAUGAUGGAAAUUGUUUUCCCUAUUGGUUUGACUGUCGAAAUGAUGGCAACAAUGUAUUAGCUCUAUCUGAUCUUUC